AUCUCGCGAGAGCUGGGCCUUGAGCGGCCGCGCCAGAACUGCGGCGGCGAGACUUGGCCCCGCGGCCCUGGCUCGCCGGGCUGUUGGGAUGUCCUCCUCCCUGCCGGAAUCCGCUGUGCCCGCUCGGCCGCACCUCUGCCCCAGCCACACCUCUGCCGCCGGUCAGGUGGCUUAUUGAACGCCUGCGUUAGGUGCCAGGCCACGGAGUUGGAGCUGGGGACGCGGAAAUCAGUUAGUCGUGGCUGCUGGCUUCAAGGAACGCCCGUCCUAGCGAAGGAGAGAAACUUGUACAGACGGUGCGAUUAGGGUUUUAAGAGAGGUGUGGCCCGAAGGCUGCUGUGACCCAGUUGAGGGGGUGGUCAGAGACAGCCGCGAAAGGAAUCGGAGCAGUGCUUCGAGGGGUAGGAGUGCUUUGCGGGGAAGCAGAGGCCUUUCUAGGCAAAGACGCGGGCGGUGGAGAGUACGUGGUGUAGUGGAGCAGUGAGUGGCGAAUCCAGAGAAGGGGUCAUAAACCCAAAUGCCGACGGUGGUGGCGUAUAAAUCAUCUUAUGCAGGCUGGGCACAAGGAAACGAUGGGAGGCGCUAAGCAUGAACGAGGGAGCGAUCAUUUUCUCUGAAAGGAACGAUGGGUACUCAACAUCCGGCCAGUUUCCCUGGGAGAAGGAGCGCCCGGUGUUGAUUAUCUUCGCGGUUUCCAGGAAAAUACAGAAGUCUUGGUGAAAAAUACAGCAAAACCAGAGAAAGGUCCGCGGGAGGAGGUGAAAGUGAUCUCACAGAAGGAUUGAGAACAAGAUGAAAACGUUAUGACGCUUCACACUGAGCUGUUAAAAGGAAAUAUAAUUAUCAGCACUGCACCUGAAACUUUUAAUUGGGAACGCAGAGGAGAAGGAGAUCCUUCCGCAAAAUAGCCAUGGAUGCUGUUGCCAGAUGUCCUGUCCUGCAUUAAAUGAUCCAUGAGUCUGAUCUGGUAUGCUCAUUCAUACGGUUUUAUUUACAAAACCCCUUUUCUUGUCAUUUCAAACCCCACUUAAUCCCUAAAAACCCCAACGGAGAGGGGAAAAUGAAUGCCUCAUUAUAGUCUUCUCUGGUGACAGGCAGUGGUGCUUCGGGUCACAGGGUGACAGUUAUCUGGAUUGCAAGUCCUGGGUGGUUAUGGAUGAGAGAUACCACCCUUUCAGCUAAUACCUAUCAACUACCGAUGUCUUUUACUCAUUUUCUCUUUGGGGCCUGUGAAUUGUUUCCUAUGGAAGUACGUCUUGAUUUACAGUAGCCAUAGUGGAAGCUGCUUUUUAUGAUAUUGUCAAAUAUUAUAUUCAAAAGAUAAAUAUUUGGAGUACCCUAAAAUAAACAUAUAAAUGUUCCCUUUGUU